UUACACAUGAUGCAGACACGAGCAUUGAUUUCUUUUCUUUUUUUUUUUCACGAGCACGAGCAUUGAUUUCUCAUCAAUGAUUUUUUUUUUUCAUUUUAAACUGUUAAAAUAACCAAUUUAGCUAUUCAUUGGGAGCCUUUGCUUUUCGUAAAGAAUGUUUCUUUGGAAUGAGUGAUUUUCAGAAUUAUCUCAGCACCAUAAAAGUCACCAUAUCAUAUCCCAAGAUGGAAUUUAUCUUUUCUUACCCACUCUAUGUAUAUACUACUGUACAUGGGCUUGUAUAAUAAGUAUAUAAAUAUUUCAGUAUACACAAACAAACAUGUAAAGUCCAAACUCCUUUUUUCAAAUUCUAUACAUUAAUUAACAUUGAUAUAGAUUACUAUAAACUACUCAAUUUUCAAAAUUCGUGACCUCACAAAGAGCUACACCUUUUCAGAACAAGGAAAUAUGAAACUUAUAUUACAAUCUUCGUAACGGAGAUUUCAGGUUCAGAUGUGAAAACCAUAUAUGGGUUCACUUAUUAGGAGAAUAUAAGCUAGAACUGAAGUUAUAGAUGGAGCCCACGCAAGAAAAAAGAAAGGGACAUACAUACACGUAUAUAUAUGUGUGAAAGGUUAUGGUGAUCUUCUUCUUCCUUACCUUCUCUUCCAUCAUCAGCAUACACAUACAUAUAUAUAAUAGCCAUUAUCAACGUAUAUGUAAAGGCUUUAGUAGUAUCCAUUAGACUUUUGUCCUGCAACUGUCUGGUCUAAUUGCUUGCCCUUCUUGUUGCCAUCCAGCUUUAAUCCAAAGUGAAUGUGAGGAAAAUGUGCCCACUACACACACACCCAAUCAAGCAAAACUAAAAUUUUAAAAUAUACUGUAAUAAACAUUCCACCAAUUGCGAAAAGUAGAAUCCACUAUCUUGUUGGUAUAUACACUUAUUGUUAUUACUAUUUUUUUAACCAUCAUAUCUCACAUCAGAGAAAUAGAUCAAACCCUAGGAUUUUCUAUUUUUAUAAGUUUACUACUUAUUAGAAAAACUAAAAAUUGUAGUUUCUUUAAAAUUAAGUAUGUACAGAUAUUUUUAAAACGUUGUAAAGUAUAACAAUUUAGUAAGCUUUUCAUUAGAAAUAAAGAAUUGUUUUAUAUCUUCAUUACGGUUAAUUCUUUACUAUCAAGAAUUUUAUUUGGAGCUACCUCUCGAAGGCUAUUAUAAUUGUGAAAGAAUGAUAAAGAAGGAAGCUUACAUUUUUAGCAGCUGUGCUAAACGCCUCGCGGUGGCUGAUCUCUGGAUUGCCAGCCUUGAUCCUUUGGAUUUCCUCUCUAUUUAACAUUAGGGGAGUUAUUAAAAUGGUAGUGAAAGGAGUUGAGAAGUUUCAUUAAAAGAUAAACUUACUUGAUGAAUCUGUUGUAGGCUGAAGGAACGCGUUGUCUUUUCUCCGGCGCUGCCAUGAAAAUAAAAUUAUGGACUCAUUGCAUAUGUACACAAACUUCAAAUGCUUGUGUAUCAAAAAUGAGAGUAAAGAGCAACUAACGACGAAUAGGAGGCAUUCUAGGAGCCUCUCGAUCGACAUUUUCUGACAAUGUGGUCGAGAAAUGGUUGGAGCUCCUAGAGGAUGAUCCAUAUUCUUUCCUUGUUAUCGAAGUUGUUAUCUGUUGCUUAUGCUGCUUCAUGAUUGCAAAGACUAUAUCAGCCAGAAUUCGACAUAGUAACAAGAAAAUGUUGAAGUCCUAUAAUGAUUAUUAUUAUAUGAUACCUGAAGAUCUUGAUGAAUGGGAGUAGGUGGGCUUUGAUGAAGUGAAACUCCAAUGUUGAGAGAGAGCAAAUUGGUACAAUGGCCACAUCUCACAGUCACAAGCGUGAACAUACUUGCGUAUGGUACACUUACCUGAUCAUGGAUAAAAUAGGUGGUAAGAUAUCUUAAAUCAUAUAUAUAGACGGACAAGUUAUUUGUCUUGUUUACCACUAUCCUGUUAUUCGAUUAGCUGGUUAGACCAAUCUCUAAUGUAAUAGAACUUAACUAUAUUGUGCAUGCAAUAAUUAACAGGAGAGGUUGAGAAAUAUAGUACGCAUGUUAACUAUUCCAUUCUGUAGAACUGUGCGUUUUUGUUACUUAUAGAACAGUGUAUUGAUUUGACAAAUACAAAUCCAACUAAUAUUUUCCUGAAUAAAACAAAUAAAUAGGUUCUUUUGUUGACUUAUAAAAUCAGGAUUAACGGAGCGUUCAUAGGGUGAAGUUCUUAGCGGAAUAUAAGAAACAAUCUCUUAACUUUUAACUAAAAAAGCUAAGAACCCCACUCUAAAAAUCCUCUAUUAAUCAUGCUCUAAAUGAAUUGGUCGGAGAAAAUUCAUAAAGAUCAACCUAAGGUGAAAUGCUAGUGUUUAUUUCAUUAUACAGUUUCACUAAUUAAUCAUUCAGAUUUAAAAUAUUCGCACGGUAUAAUGUACUUCAAUAAUAAAACGGAGUACAUAGUACCCUUUAAAGUUUAAAUUUAAACAUUUUUUGUGUUCAUAUUGAAGGAAAAACAGCUAGUAAAAUAUUUCUUUUUUCAUACGUCAAAGAUAUUCCUCUAGUUUGUACAUGUAAUAUAAUAUAUUUAAAUAUUUAUAGAAGUAUAUAUUAUCAAGUUUAAUAUUUUUCCCCUGACCCAAAACAUUCAAAAUUGUUAUGCUUCUACUUUCAUAUUUAUUAAAAAUUGGAAAAAGUGGGUAAAAGAGUAGUUCAUGAAUCUAUAUCUAAAUAUGUAUACGAGAGGGGUAUUUUGUGUAUGGUGGGUUCUCUUGACAUAUAUAUAUAUAUAUAUAUAUACUAUAAACUACUCAGUUUUCAAAAUUCGUGACCUCACAAAGAGCUACACCUUUUCAGAACAAGGAAAGAUGAAAUUUAUAUUACAAUCUUCGUAACGGAGAUUCCAGGUUCAGAUGUGAAAACCAUAUAUGGGUUCACUUAUUAGGAGAAUAUAAGCUAGAACUGAAGUUAUAGAUGGAGCCCACGCAAGAAAAAAGAAAGGGACAUACAUACACGUAUAUAUAUGUGU
rnacentral:lncRNA from 1 species